GACGAACGCUGGCGGCGUGCCUAAUACAUGCAAGUUGGGCGAUGAAGAUUGGUGCUUGCACCAAUUUGAAGAGCAGCGAACGGGUGAGUAACGCGUGGGGAAUCUGCCUUUGAGCGGGGGACAACAUUUGGAAACGAAUGCUAAUACCGCAUAACAACUUUAAACAUAAGUUUUAAGUUUGAAAGAUGCAAUUGCAUCACUCAAAGAUGAUCCCGCGUUGUAUUAGCUAGUUGGUGAGGUAAAGGCUCACCAAGGCGAUGAUACAUAGCCGACCUGAGAGGGUGAUCGGCCACAUUGGGACUGAGACACGGCCCAAACUCCUACGGGAGGCAGCAGUAGGGAAUCUUCGGCAAUGGACGAAAGUCUGACCGAGCAACGCCGCGGGAGUGAAGAAGGGUUUCGGAUCGUAAAACUCUGUUGGUAGAGAAGAACGUUGGUGAGAGUGGAAAGCUCAUCAAGUGACGGUAACUACCCAGAAAGGGACGGCUAACUACGUG
rnacentral:rRNA from 1 species